CUCUGCCAACAGUUAUUUUCGGGUGUUUGAAUUACAGCUGUGCUCUGUGGUAACCACUGCAGUGUUGUUAAGUACAGGCUGAGUCACGGCCAGCUGUGGAGCCAGACCUAGGGUUGGGAUGACACGUGGACAGACCUAGGUUGGGAUGACACGUGGACAGACCUAGGUUGGGAUGACACGUGGACAGACCUAGGGUUGGGAUGACACGUGGACAGACCUAGGUUGGGAUGACAGGUGGACAGACCUAGGAUUGGGAUGACAGGUGGACAGACCUAGGUUGGGAUGACACGUGGACAGACCUAGGUUGGGAUGACACGUGGACAGACCUAGGGUUGGGAUGACAGGUGGACAGACCUAGGUUGGGAUGACACGUGGACAGACCUAGGUUGGGAUGACACGUGGACAGACCUAGGGUUGGGAUGACACGUGGACAGACCUAGGUUGGGAUGACACAUGGACAGAUCUAGGUUGGGAUGACACAUGGACAGACCUAGGGGUGGGAUGACACGUGGACAGACCUAGGGGUGGGAUGACACGUGGACAGACCUAGGGUUGGGAUGACAAUGAACACAUCUAGGUUUGGGGUGACGUGAACACAGCUCUAGAAUUGCGAUGACAGGUGCACAGGUCUAGGUUUGGGGUGACAGGAGCACAGGUCUAGGUUUGGGGUGACAGGAGCACAGGUCUGGGUUUGGGGUGAUGUGUGCACAGAUCUAGAUUUGGGGUGAUGUGUGCACAGGUCUAGGUUUGGGGUGGCAGGUGCACAGGUCUAGGUUUGGGGUGGCAGGUGCACAGGUCUAGGUUUGGGGUGACAGGAGCACAGGUUUAGGUUUGGGGUGAUGUGUGCACAGGUCUGGAUUUGGGGUGACAGGUGCACAGGUCUGGGUUUGGGAUGACAGGUGCACAGGUCUAGGUUUGGGGUGACAGGAGCACAGGUCUAGGUUUGGGGUGACAGGUGCACAGGUCUAGGUUUGGGAUGACAGGUGCACAAGUCUAGGUUUGGGGUGAUGUGUGCACAGGUCUGGGUUUGGGGUGGCAGGUGCACAAGUCUAGAUUUGGGGUGACAUGUGCACAGGUCUGGGUUUGGGGUGGCAGGUGCACAGGUCUAGGUUUGGGGUGGCAGGUGCACAAGUCUAGGUUUGGGGUGAUGUGUGCACAGGUCUGGGUUUGGGGUGGCAGGUGCACAGGUCUAGGUUUUGGGAUGACGCAUACACAGGUCUAGGUUUGGGGGUGACAGGAGCACAGGUCUGGGUUUGGGGUGACAGGAGCACAGGUCUAGGUUUGGGGUGACAUGUGCACAGGUCUGGGUUUGGGGUGACGUGUGCACAGGUCUGGGUUUGGGGUGACAGGUGCACAGGUCUAGGUUUGGGGUGGCAGGUGCACAGGUCUAGGUUUGGGGUGAUGUGUGCACAGGUCUAGGUUUGGGGUGACAGGAGCACAGGUGUAGGUUUGGGGUGAUGUGUGCACAGGUGUAGGUUUGGGGUGAUGUGUGCACAGGUCUGGGUUUGGGGUGACAGGAGCACAGGUCUGGGUUUGGGGUGACAGGUGCACAGGUCUAGGUUUUGGGAUGAUGCAUACACAGGUCUAGGUUUGGGGUGAUAUGUUGAGAGUUGCUGGGACCAGGGCCCUGCUCUAUCGCCAGGAAGUUCUUGGGACUUGGCCUGGGCAGGAAGGGCAGAUACUGCUUGCAGUGUUCUGACUUGUAGGAUGUUGUUCUUCCCACGUCCUCUACCCACACCUGAAGUAUUCCUGUGUUCGGGGUCCUGCUGAGUCCAUACCACCCCUGCGACCUUGGGAAACUUCAGGGUGCAUUCAGAGACAAUCUGAGGUGGGACCCUUUGUGGGGGCCAGUCACCUACUCUGCCCUGGCCAUCCUAGGAAUAGCAGCUGGCAGAGGACCUGCCCUGCUGAGA
ensembl:lncRNA